rnacentral:rRNA from 1 species
UACAGAGGUCUCAAGCGUUGUUCGGAUUCAUUGGGCGUAAAGGGUGCGUAGGUGGCGCCGUAAGUCAGGUGUGAAAUUUCGGAGCUUAACUCCGAAACUGCAUUUGAUACUGCGGUGCUUUGAGGACUGGAGAGGAGACUGGAAUUCACGGUGUAGCAGUGAAAUGCGUAGAGAUCGUGAGGAAGACCAGUGGCGAAGGCGGGUCUCUGGACAGUUCCUGACACUGAGGCAGCGAAGGCCAGGGGAGCAAACGGG